AAUUCAUGGUGUGGACAUUAUUAAAUUAGCAUUUUGAAAUGUUCCCAUGCCUCACAGAAACUUUCUCCCUCUAUUUGUCUAAAGACAGCGAUCUCUCUUCUUAGUU
rfam:Gossypium arboreum cultivar AKA8401 contig_47726_5, whole genome shotgun sequence.